UACGGGGGGGGGCAAGCGUUGUUCGGAAUUACUGGGCGUAAAGGGCUCGUAGGCGGCCAACUAAGUCAGACGUGAAAUCCCUCGGCUUAACCGGGGGAACUGCAUCUGAUACUGGAUGGCUUGAGAUUGGGAGAGGGAUGCGGAAUUCCAGGUGUAGCGGUGAAAUGCGUAGAUAUCUGGAGGAACACCGGUGGCGAAGGCGGGUCUCUGGGCCGAUACUGACGCUGAGGAGCGAAAGCGUGGGGAGCGAACAGG
rnacentral:rRNA from 1 species